GGAAAAGGAAGAAGAGCGAAAGAAAGGAAAGAAGAAGAGGGAAGAGGACGCCUAUCGUUCUCACCGAAAGCUAACCUCCCACCGACUGGAAAUCAUGAACGUACGCAUGCACGCAUUUAUAGAGACCUUGUGCUCCUGCUCCGGCUCGGAAUGAAAACAGAUGGUUGAGCAUGGGGGACCUGGUUUGACUCCUUCCUGCGUGCCUUUCUCUACCUUCUAUCUCCUUAUGAUGUAUGCGACUGGGUUACCAAGAAAAAAAUUAGAAGCAACGCGAAUGAAAACUCGUUGCCACAAUAUGCAGCCGAUUCUUUUUUCAUUCGCAACUUGUUUCCUCGUGUUAUUAUUAUUUAUUAGACGAAAUGAUAGGUUUUGUUUAAUACUGUAAAUUAAGAUUAGAUUAGGUUUCUACAUUAUGCAUAGAUGCAAUGCUCAUGCGUGUAUGUUUUAUGAACAAGUUGUUGCUGGGUGAUAUUUAUAGAAAGAAUGUUCCGAUUUAUGGAAUGAAUGUAAAGUAAUUUGAAACUGAAUAAGUGUAUUUCUGGUUUCUUAUAAGUUAAAAUUGGUUGUCUUUGGUAUGUUUCAUAAAUCUGAAAUUGAAAUUCGCCCUUAAAA